rnacentral:tRNA from 1 species
GCCGGGGUGGCGAAAUGGCAGACGCAGCGGAUUCAAAAUCCGCUUCCCCAAAAGGGAGUGUGGGUUCAAGUCCCUCCCCCGGCA